UACGUAGGAUGCAAGCGUUGUCCGGAUUUACUGGGCGUAAAGCGCGCGCAGGCGGCACAUUAAGUAAGGUGUGAAAUAUCCCGGCUCAACCGGGAGGGUGCACUUUAGACUGAUGAGCUUGAGGUCGGUAGAGGGGGGUGGAAUUGCUGGUGUAGCGGUGAAAUGCGUAGAGAUCAUGAGGAAGACCAGUGGCGAAGGCGGGUCUCUGGACAGUUCCUGACACUGAGAACACGAAAGCCAGGGGAGCAAACGGG
rnacentral:rRNA from 1 species